CUACGGGUUGCUGCAGUGGGGAAUAUUGGACAGUGGGGGAAACCCUGAUCCAGCAAUGCCGCGUGUGUGAAGAAGGCCUGCGGGUUGUAAAGCACUUUCGGUUGGGAGGACUGCUUCUAGCACUAAUAUUGUUGGAAGUUGACGUUACCUUCAGAAGAAGCACCGGCUAACUCCGUGCCAGCAGCCGCGGUAAUACGGAGGGUGCAAGCAUUAAUCGGAAUUACUGGGCGUAAAGCGCGCGUAGGCGGCUAGAUCAGUCGGGUGUGAAAGCCCCGGGCUUAACCUGGGAACUGCAUCCGAUACUGUCUAGCUUGAGUACAGGAGAGGAGAGUGGAAUUCCACAUGUAGCGGUGAAAUGCGUAGAUAUGUGGAGGAACACCAAUGGCGAAGGCAGCUCUCUGGCCUGAUACUGACGCUGAGGUGCGAAAGCGUGGGGAGCAAACAGGAUUAGAUACCCGGGUAGUC
rnacentral:rRNA from 1 species